CGUCGCGGCCUAUCAGCUUGUUGGUGGGGUAAUGGGCUACCAAGGCGUCGACGGGUAGUCGGCCUGAGAGGGGUGUACGGGCCACAUUGGGACUGAGAUACGGCCCAGACUCCUACGGGAGGCAGCAGUGGGGGAAUAUUGCACAAUGGGCGCAAGCCUGAUGCAGCGACGCCGCGUGGGGGAUGACGGCCUUCGGGUUGUAAACUCCUUUCGCAACCGACGAAGCUUUUGUGACGUAGGUUGACGAAGAAGCACCGGCUAACUACGUGCCAGCAGCCGCGGUAAUACGUAGGGUGCGUAGCGUUGUCCGGAAUUACUGGGCGUAAAGAGCCCCGUAGGUGGUUUGUCGCGUCGUUUGUGGAAUACCGCAGCUUAACUGCGGGGUUGCAGGCGAUACGGGCAUAACUUGAGUGCUGUAGGGGAGACUGGAAUUCCUGGUGUAGCGGUGGAAUGCGCAGAUAUCAGGAGGAACACCGAUGGCGAAGGCAGGUCUCUGGGCAGUAACUGACGCUGAGGAGCGAAAGCA
rnacentral:rRNA from 1 species